UACAGAGGGUGCAAGCGUUAAUCGGAAUUACUGGGCGUAAAGGGCGCGUAGGUGGUUAAUUAAGUCAGAUGUGAAAUCCCUGGGCUUAACCUAGGAAUUGCAUAUGAAACUGAUUGGCUAGAGUUCGAGAGAGGGAAGUGGAAUUUCCGGUGUAGCGGUGAAAUGCGUAGAUAUCGGAAGGAACACCAGUGGCGAAGGCGACUUCCUGGCUCGAUACUGACACUGAGGCGCGAAAGCGUGGGGAGCGAACAGG
rnacentral:rRNA from 1 species